rnacentral:rRNA from 1 species
UACGUAGGGGGCAAGCGUUGUCCGGAUUUAUUGGGCGUAAAGAGCUCGUAGGCGGUUCCGUAAGUCGUGAAGUCAAAUCUCUGGGCUCAACCCAGAAUCGCUUCCGAUACUGCGGUGACUGGAGUCCGGUAGGGGAGUGUGGAAUUCCUGGUGUAGCGGUGAAAUGCGCAGAUAUCAGGAGGAACACCAACAGCGAAGGCAGCACUCUGGGCCGGGUACUGACGCUGAGGGAGCGAAAAGCAU